rnacentral:rRNA from 1 species
CCUACGGGCGGCUGCAGUGGGGAAUAUUGGACAAUGGGCGAAAGCCUGAUCCAGCCAUGCCGCGUGUGUGAAGAAGGCCUUCGGGUUGUAAAGCACUUUCAGUGGGGAAGAAAGCCUUGGGGCUAAUACCCUCGAGGAAGGACAUCACCCACAGAAGAAGCACCGGCUAACUCCGUGCCAGCAGCCGCGGUAAUACGGAGGGUGCGAGCGUUAAUCGGAAUUACUGGGCGUAAAGCGCGCGUAGGCGGUCUGAUAAGCCGGUUGUGAAAGCCCCGGGCUCAACCUGGGAACGGCAUCCGGAAAUGUCAGGGUAGAGUGGAGGAGAGGAAGGGAGGAUUCCCGGGGGUGGGGUGAAAUGCGUAGGGAUCGGGAGGAAUACCAGUGGGGAAGGCCGCCUUCUGGACUGACCCCGGCGGCUGGGUGCGAAAGCGUGGGUAGCAAACAGGAUUAGAUACCCGUGUAGUC